rnacentral:rRNA from 1 species
GAGUCAGUGAGAUUGAGGCGACAUCUGAUCCAGCAAUGCCGCGUGAGUGAUGAAGGCCUUCGGGUUGUAAAGCUCUUUUACUAGGGAAGAAAAUAUCUGUACCUAUCUGGGAUGGCCCGGACCGGUUCAUGCCAGCCCCCCCGGUAUUAUAAUAUGCCCGCCGCCGCUAUAAUAA